rnacentral:misc_RNA from 1 species
AAGUCGUAACAAGGUUUCCGUAGGUGAACCUGCGGAAGGAUCAUUAAUGAGUUUUAAAUCCAGCUUCGUCUCGCUGUGCAUUUAUUUGCACGCCUGAAGGAGUUUGGCUCUUUAACUUUACACACCUGUGCACCUUCGGACUGUUCGUCUUAGGACGGUCCGCUUUUUUACACCUUUUUGUAUGUCUAUGAAUUUUGCGGUCGCUCUGUGAUGGAGCAUCGUUAUAAUAAAAUACAACUUUCAGCAACGGAUCUCUUGGCUCUC